UACGUAGGGUGCAAGCGUUAAUCGGAAUUACUGGGCGUAAAGCGUGCGCAGGCGGUUUUGUAAGUCUGUCGUGAAAUCCCCGGGCUUAACCUGGGAAUGGCAUUUGUGACUGGAAGGCUAGAGUGUGUCAGAGGGGGGUAGAAUUCCACGUGUAGCAGUGAAAUGCGUAGAGAUGUGGAGGAAUACCGAUGGCGAAGGCAGCCCCCUGGGAUAACACUGACGCUCAUGCACGAAAGCGUGGGGAGCAAACAGG
rnacentral:rRNA from 1 species